rnacentral:sRNA from 1 species
UAUCAGCUGGACAACUGUGGUGGAUGUCCGUAUGGUCAAGUGUGUGUGGACACUGGGAUUCGCUGUAUCACAGAGCCAUGUCCGACUUUCAGAUGUGUAGCUAACGACUCUUGUGGUGGUUGUCCACCAUGGACAAAGUGUGAGAUUCUAUUUCCGCCAUGUCCGAUAUGUGUCGAUAGACCGCGCUGCAUUAGACCAAAGUGUUCGCCUGUACCAACAUGUGUGGACAUACCACCAAUAGACGAAUGUGGAGGUUGUCCAGCUGGUCAAGUAUGUCAGCCAACGGGAAUUUUCUGCAAGAAAGCCCCGUGUCCAACACACAAGUGUGUCCUAGUUGCUCCUAUUAGACCCUGCACCCUUUUCAGCGUUAAGGGAUUAAGGUGUGUGGUCCGACCAAAAGAAUGUCCAGCCGGUACUUUGUACUGUGACAAGACUCCUGUGCCACAGUGUGUUCCAAUCAAGCUAGGUGCAUGCCCAAAAAUAAAUUAUAGUGGGAUAAAACCUGGUGUAUGUUUAUUUGAUGGGACUUGUAAUACAGACGAUGACUGCAGCCAGUUUGAAAGAUGCUGUGAAACAGGAUGCUACGAAAAGAAAUGUGUGGGCGUUCCAGUAAUAGAUUAAUUCACACACUUUUUAACACGCCUUUAAGAACGCUCGAGAUUUCUCAGUCAACUGUUUGCUGAAACUAUGGAAGAAUAAUUGUGAAAAGAUUUGCUGAGUCUUAUGUUUAAUCUUCUUUACCUUUACUAAAACAAAAUACAAAAAUAACUUUUUCUGUGUUUGUUUCAAACUAUAUAGAGUAUUUUCAUUAUUAUUAUUAUCAUUAUUAUUACUACUACUAAAAAAUCUAUGAUUACAUUUUUCUCCAACAAAUUAAAUGAUGUGAGCAUAUUA